rnacentral:misc_RNA from 1 species
UAUUAAAAUGUGAAAACACUUAUAUAUACAUGACAUAAACACAUACUAUUAUAACUAUAUAAUAGAAAAUUUUCGUGACAAAUAUUUUCUUAAAAAAAUUUUUCAUAGAAAAUAUUUUUCAUAUACAAGUUAUUUUCUGCGAAACAAACGGAGCCUUAGUCUUCUUUUUUUUCCCCAUAAAUGUUGAAAUAUGCAAAAUAUUUAAAAUGUAAUUUACGUAUCCCCUUGAAAAUUUCAAUAACCUAAAUAACUGGUUACCCACUUAGCAAUGAGGCUAUGUUUUUCAUCUGCCAAAGUUGGAGAUCAUAUUUGCCAUUUAGGCUUUGAAAACUAAAUGUGAAUGCAUUCGAUUUGUUUGAGCUUCUCAAGUUAAGCAAGUCAAAGUUUCUGUCUCUUUAAGCUGUGGAGGUGACCAGAAUCUUUACUGUUUUGACAUUAUAGAAUGCAUUAAGAAGGGCAUAUUGCGCGUAUGCGUAUGUAAUGACUAUGUGUGCCUCUAGUCAACUCUUCCCCAGUGCAAUCAGCAUUUCUAUUUCUACCUUUCAAAACCAGCCUUUUAUAUUGACUUCAUCAAAGUAAGGCAUUUCCUUCAAAUGAUUCAAUUUAUCAUUGAUAGUUUAACACAAAUUAACUGAACUUUAACACCAAACUAGUUAGGUUGACUAUAUAGAUCCGUUUCCUCUAUUCCACUCACUUGAGACAAUUUUUCAUGACAGUUUGAGCCAAAUAAAAUAGAAAAGAAGGGAGGAAAAUCUCAAGUACGCAAGCCUCUAGAUGUUAUAUUCAAUAUUGGCUACAAUUAUCGAAGUAUGCUGUGUCAUCAUAUCUUGACUUGUUCAUUAGACUUGGUCUUAUGUCCCUAGGCAGUGUCCCUAGACCAUAGGGAUCAAGCGGGAUAAAGUCAGUUUAACUUCCAAUUCAGCUCUUCCCAAUUCGUGACAUCACAUGAUGAGUGAAAGUUAUUCAAAUACCGGAGACAAAAAAAGUAUAUUUUUCUGUUUAGUUCCCCUAUUUCUCUUCCUCAUCUUGCUCACCCUUCUCAAAUCGCCCAGUGUGAUAUACAUGUAUGUGGUUAUCUGCUGCUGAGGUAGUUGUCGGUAUGCUUUUGCUGAUUCAGAUUAACUUGACUUCUGUUGUUAUCAUCUGUUAGUGCUUCAGUUGGCAGUCUGGUUGUUACAACUGGCUCCUCUUGAACAUGCAGUUGUAGUUGAAAAUCCUACAUAUGCAAGUUAGAUGGACUCUGUUAGUGCCGGUUCCUGGCACCAGUUUACUUUCUGAAGUCUAUUUGCUUUUGUUACCAUUCUUUUUCAUGUCUGAUUAAUCUCUAAUAUCAAUGAGUUGUACUUUAAAAUUUACCUUGCAGGUGAUCUGGCUUUGUUUCUGCUAGUGUGAAGGUCUCUAAAAGCCUGGAGCCUACCAUCCUUUGUUCUAUCCUCUUCAUUGAUGAAUUCUCUCCCACCUCUUCAAAUCUUAAACAUUAAUUUCUCUUAUUUUCUAACAAUAAAAAGUAAUCUGGCACAUGAAUAAAAGCAUUUCCUGGCUGCAAAAAACUGAUUCAAAUUUUCUUUUGUGCAUGAAAGAAUGGAUAUAGUUAGCAAAAUGCAAGGCGCAUAGACUUGUGGUCAGUUACAUGCGAUAGCUAGUUAUGUAUUUUUGGAGAUAUAGCUAGCAGCUAGUAAUGCUUUGCAAGUUUUGGAUAUUGAGGUGGACCUGGUGUUUAACAGAGCUGAAUAGCGAAAAAGAAUCCAUUCAAUUGAUUCCAACUAGUUUGCUAUUAAGGCUUAGUUGUUGUUGUUGAAGUAUAGGGGUUUUCUUUUGAAUUUUGUUGAUAGCAUGCUUAUCAAAUUUAAAUUCUGCCUAUUAAGGAUAUGUAGGCCACUGUAAUAUGUACAUAUGCAUUUUUUUUUUAAUUUCAUUUUAUAACUUUUUAUUUGUGGAAAACAAUCCUUGUUGGUUGAUGAAUUUGUGCUUAUUUAUAGAGGGAUGUCAUUGUUUAUCACUUAUCAGUAACGUAAAAGCAAGAGAUUGUGAGAUGUUAACAAGGCACUGUGAUCCUAAUCAUAAAUCCUUCAUCUGUAUCACAUUUUAUUUGUUCUUUUGUUCCAUAACAGGAGUCUACUAUUGGUGGAUUGAACAGCAAAACCCAUAUGAAGAUAAUGCUUAAAUGGAUGAGGGGGAGGAAAAUGCUGAAGCUGUUCUGCAACCAGGUUGGUUCAAGCAAGAAGUUUUUGCAUUGCACUUUACCUGAAGAACCACAUGCUGACCAAUCAAAAGUACUACCAGAGCUAAAUAUUCCGGCCAGGAAGCCUUCAAUAAAGAGGAAAAAACAACAGCAAUAAGAUGUGUGAGGACCAUCUCAUGACUAGAGAAUGAUUACUAGGAAUGUUCCAUGUGCAAUUGUUCCUUUAAUUCUGUGCUUCAUUUGGAUGGAUGGUUCUUAACGCCUUUUAUCUAUUGUCAGUUUGUCAUUGUUCUUGACUACUUAAUUUGCCUUCCUUAUACUUCCUCUUGUUGAUUUUCUAGUAUGAAUUUAAUAAAGAAGGAUUUUAGAGUGCACAUCUAGAUAUGUUUUCUUAUGCAGUAUGUGUUGUGGACAUGAAGGCUGCCACAACGAAGCAAAUGUUACUUGCUACAAGAUCUUAUCAGUCUACUAGAGAAAUCUGUACAAUUUUUGUCAUUUACUCUGGCUCGGAGUUCAGGGUUCAUGACUUCUUUGGUUGUGCUGCCUUUAGAUGCUGUUGAGUAUUUUAUUCUUUCUAUUCUAUUCAGGAUAGAGAAAUUGGCUCAGUAACAUGUAGAUUAUCUUAAAAUGGUGAUUAG